UACGGAGGGGGCAAGCGUUGUUCGGAUUUACUGGGCGUAAAGGGAGCGUAGGCGGCUCGUCAAGUCCGGUGUGAAAUCUUUACCGCUCACCGGAAAGAGGUCAUCGGAAACUGGCGGGCUAGAGCAAGGUAGAGGCAAGCGGAAUUCCUGGUGUAGCGGUGGAAUGUGUAGAUAUCAGGAAGAACAUCGGUGGCGAAGGCGGCUUGCUGGGCUUUUGCUGACGCUGAGGCUCGAAAGCGUGGGUAGCAAACGGG
rnacentral:rRNA from 1 species